CCUGACUGCUAUCGGAUUGAUACUAAGCCAUGUGAGUCUUUGUAGCAAUACAAGGCGUACGGCUCAGUAACACGUAGUCAACCUACCUUAUGGACGGGGAUAACCUCGGGAAACUGAGAAUAAUUCCCGAUAGAUCAUUAUGCCUGGAAUGGUUUAUGGUCAAAAUGAAUUUCGCCAUAGGAUGGGACUGCGGUCUAUCAGCUUGUUGGUGAGUUAAUGGCCCACCAAGGCUAUAACAGAUACGGGCUCUGAGAGGAGAAGCCCGGAGAUGGGUACUGACACACGGACCCAGGUCCUAUGGGGCGCAGCAGGCGAGAAAACUUUGCAAUGUGCGAAAGCACGACAAGGUUAAUCCGAGUGUUUCCUGCUAAAGGAAUCUUUUGUUAGUCAUAAAACCACUGAUGAAUAAGGGGUGGGCAAGUUCUGGUGUCAGCCGCCGCGGUAAAACCAGCACCUCAAGUGGUCAGGAGGAUUAUUGGGCCUAAAGCAUCCGUAGCCUGCUUUGUUAGUUUUCGGUUAAAUCCAUAUGCUCAACAUAUGGGCUGCCGGGAAUACUGCAUAGCUAGGGAGUGGGAGAGGUAGACGGUACUCCGUAGGAAGGGGUAAAAUCCUUUGAUCUAUGGAUGACCACCUGUGGCGAAGGCGGUCUACCAGAACACGUCCGACGGUGAGGGAUGAAAGCUGGGGGAGCAAACCGGAUUAGAUACCCGGGUAGUCCCAGCUGUAAACUAUGCAAACUCAGUGAUGCAUUGGCUUGUGGCCAGUGCAGUGCCGCAGGGAAGCCGUUAAGUUUGCCGCCUGGGAAGUACGUACGCAAGUAUGAAACUUAAAGGAAUUGGCGGGGGAGCACCACAAGGGGUGAAGCCUGCGGUUC
rnacentral:rRNA from 1 species